ensembl:lncRNA
UUUCAGAUCCAAGCUUUUACAAGCUCAUAUUUUUAUUUAAAUGUUAUUGCGAUUUACCUUUCUCACUCACAUCAGCAGCUGAAGCAGGGCUGCUUUGUUACAGCAAAACUCAUAUUUAUCAAAGAAUCUGGAAAAACUGUGUAUUUAUGAACUUUACUCAUAAUUCAGCCGACAAAACUAAAUGAAAUGAAUCAAUGUGAACUGAACGAGAGCUGCCACAGGACAGAGAUGUGCUGAAAUACAACAGAGAAUAUGACAAUAAUAUAUCAAUAAUUUAUCUCAAUUACAUCUCUGGAAGCCAAACUUGUUUAAAUUAAAAUUCUAAACUCAAAGUAACAAAAUGUCCAAUUUACAGCGAACGCCUUGUCUGUAUGUGACACAGGGCUGAAGAUAUACCACGGGCCUUGAACGCAGCACAAGAGCUCUCAUCAGGUAAGCACAGGAAGACACCUGGACUGUGUUUAAUGUGGCGUCUGUAUCGAUGCUGCAGGAAGCAGCUUCAACUCUGAGGAGAAUCUGUUUGAAAGGGUCACAACAAACUCAGAAAAGGUUUCAAUUUUUUGUUCAACAUCAGGAACCAGGAAGUCCAGGAAGAGCAAGUUCUAGUUAUGGGGAGCUCUUCCUCUGAGGAGGAGGAGCUAGUAUCAAACACGUUUCUCAGCUCAGUGAACUGACACAGAUCUGCUCAACCUCACAGGUUUAACAUGAAGUCGACAAACAGAUGCUGCGUUUGAUGUUAUUGAUGCUUUUGGACCAAUAAAACAGUUUUUCACACCUGCACUCGGAGCGAUCCGAUUGGUCAGUAGGUGAGUUGUCUGGUCUUGAACGCGACCGUCUUCAGCGCAGGUUAGGGCAGUGGCGGCGCUCUGCCUGAACCUCAGAGUCGGCACGACGGCCUCCUGAGAGGCAGGACUUCUCACCCUCUGUAUGUCGCGCUGAUGAGCCGGCGCGCUGACGGCGGUUUCAGCAGAAACACUGAAACCUUAAACAGACUGUACGAUGUGAUGGCCGACCUGCUGCAGACAUGAACUCCACCUGGUUCCUGUGAGCUGGAGGUAAACACUGUGGACAGCCUUCCCGGACGUCCUGCUGGGAAUAACUAAGGAAACGAGGAGCAUGGACACGUUCACUUUCAGAGAUUAUUCAAAUAUUUCAUUCCACAAAGGCUUUAAAAUCUGAUCCUAAAACAGACUCGCUGACUUGCAUUGUAUUUGUCAUGAACUCAGUUAUUUUUCUUCUUUUAAAAGCUGCGUCCUGAAAUCUGUCAGAUCUGAUAGUUUAACACAGUCUCACAGGUGGAGGCAGUUUUUUAUACUUAUACGUACAUUUCAAGCGCUCAGGUGGGUCUCAGGAGUUUUACCAGGAUCGCUGAUUUGAGAGACUUGACCUGAGAAAAUGUGCUCAGCUGAUCUGAGGUCAGUGAACUGUCUGAAUAAUAAACCAGGGGCGGAGACCUGUCAAUCACAGACUGACCCGCCCACAUUCAAAACACUAAGAUGGAGAAAACGCUCCACUCACGGUGUGAUGUCACAGAUGUGUCUUAUUUUACUAAACAUGUAGUCACCAUGGUUACCAGCCCAUCAGCAUAUACUGCCCUCUGGUGGCAUAUCUGUGCACUGCACACUGUGUGAUGUCCUGAUAUUACCUGUCACCUCAUCAGUAUUUUUUGUUUUGACUUUUUUAGCCUCACUGAGUCAAAAUAAAACUUUUAGUUUUCAGAGUCAGGGUCCACGUGUGUCUUUUUACCUCAUUUAUUAACAGCCACAUUUAACCCUCUAACCACCCGAGCACACACCACGACCUCUUUACCUGUCAACUUCCUGUCCACGAACACAAACAACCUCAUUCGUGAGUUUAAAGACUAUUUUCCUUUCAUAUCCCUUCAGGACUCUUAAGCUGCUUCCAUGCUGGCACAGUGUUGGAGGUGAGCCCUGAUAAGCUGACCUCCCCGACCUGCGUUAAGGUGGAGGCGUACCUAACAAACUGGCAGCUCAGUGAGAUGUUUCAGGAAGCACCUCAUGGUGCAAAGUAAGCAGACAGUUGUGAUAACAGACGGAUAUAUUUGUGAUGGAAACAGAAGAAACAAAGCGCCGCACAGGAAGUGACCUGCGAGGAAAAUAAAUAGAUAAAUAACGAUGUCCGUGUAGCUGCCUUCAAAUGCCGCCAAGUCCUGUUAGAGAGAAACUGUGUCAAAGACGGGAGGACGAGGAGGAGCGUGCUCUUCAUCCUCUGCAGUUUCCCGUCGCUCGCCCACGUCUUCACACGUUGGCCCGCGGCGUCUCACUUUCAGUUCCUGCUGCAGCUCGCUCUGAUCACACCUACAGACUCACAGCUGCAGCUCAGUCACAUCCUCUGCUCUGAUUGGUCAGCUGCUCUCUGACCGACAGCUUCACCAGCUUUCUGUUGUUGUCAUGAAUCCACAAGUCUGCUGACAGCAGCAGGGACGCACCGAUCCGAUGCGUCACCCACGAAAAACUGGCUUCAGGUGUUCUGAGUCCGACGUUUCCUCGCCGGGAGGCAGAGAGCGAGCGUCGCCUACAGCAGCUGAAACACUCGCUGCAGGGCUUCAAGUCUAAUUCUAAGGUUCGCGCUUUGUGGGCAUUUAUUUUUUAAAGAAUGACUGGAUUCUUCCAACCAUCAGUCACUCUGAUCCGGGAUCUGUGGUCAGUGUUUAAAAAGCAGAAGCCCACAAACUGUGAAGAUCCGGGAAAGAUCUCCAUCAGCCAGGAUUUGUCCCAGAAACUGAUCCAGCACAAAGACGGCUCAUCGCUGUCAACACUUUAAAUAAAUUUACUGAAAGUUCUGGAAACUCCUAAAAUGUCUGAGUGAGCUUCAUGGUGCCAGAACAUAAUCUGAAUAAAAGCCGAAGGUAAAAUCUGAAACACGGGCCGUUGUUACACGACAGGAUUCAGGUUAUGAAGCUGGCUGAUAAAGGGUUAAAACGCCCUCUGCUGGCACGUCCGUCACUCGCUCUCAAUAAAAGUGAUUUUUAAUCUCACUGAGCGACAGAUAAAUACAUAAAUAUAAAAUCUGUGCUCUGAUUGGAGCUGAGUGCAGGAGUAUUUCCUGCGCCUCCUCACACAUGGAGACGAGCAGACAGCAGGAGGCGUGGCUCGUGUUAGCAUGGAGCUCAAAGCUAAAACACUAGAGGAGAAGCUGGGAUGGGAAACGCCAUCACCGAGCAGUGUUUAAAGUUUUACACUAGAGCUGGGCGAUAGAACGAUAACGAUAUGUAUUGCGAAAUAAUUUUUUCUCGAUAGAAAAAUUAAACUAUUGCGAUAGGCCUCGUCUCUCUUGUCCUCUUAAAAAAAAAAAAAAAAGAACAGCCAAUCCAAAUUAAGUAGCGCAGAGCCGAACCAAUCACAGCCGCAGCGUCACGUCACGUGACUUGUUACGUGCAGCACAAGCGCCAAGGCGCACAUGUGUAUUUGUUUU